GCAGUAGCGGCGGAGAGACGAGCCGUGCGCUCGAGCCGGCCACGUUGGUGGGAGCGCGCGCGGAUGCUGGAGAGCCUCGACGAGCCAACCGUGCUGAGUGUCGCGCGAACUGCCGAGAGAAACGGAUCGACGCUUCUGGGCGGAGUGAAUGUUGGCCUCGGCGGUUCCGUAACGGCCUGUAGAACACGGGGCCUGCAUAAUGCCACGCUGUGCGUGUACACGACCGCUUCUAAGGGCCGCCGACGGGUAGGGAUGACCGCAGGAUCCCGAGGGGUGCCACACCCCCUCUUCUGCCAUGGUACCGUCGAUGCAGAAGCACCCAGCGGGGGUCACCCGGUGCAUGAUACAGCCCUUCCAGGCCCCUGUCCUGGGUCCACACCGGUCACAUUCCCCACAGGAAUCGGAGUUUUUCUCCGUGGAUGAAAGGAAAUGGAACCCGGUUCGUAUCAGUAAACGUCGUCCGGCGUUCCAUCGUCGAUCGUGAACGUUAAAUGCACCGGCUACGUCGCGUCCAGGCAUUCCUAAGCGUCUGGGUGACGCUUACGAGGGAUCAAACGGGGCGCGUGGUCCGUCCACGGGGAUGCCAAACGGUCCAACGAUGAAAUUAGAGUAAGCGACGUUGUCGUCCGCAGGCCCAUGUCAAUGAGGCGGCCCGUGGGAUAAGCGGAAGGACGUGGAUGGAUCGUCUGAACGCCGUCGGAAAGACGUGGACGCCAAGAAGGACGAGAGUACAACCGGGAACGUCGUCGGUUGUACACGCAAUUACUCUCCCUCGUCAUAUCCGACGCCGGUCUUUUCAUUACCCUUCUAAAUGGCGCAUGAAGUAUACCUCUCUUUCUCUGCCUCCUCUCCCUCCCCCUUAUCUGGGACUCUGUGUCAGUUGAAAUGCCGCGGAUAGGUGAGCUUUCCAUCCGUCCCUGUUGCACUCCGUCUGUGUAUGGUACCACGUCGCGUAACGCGGCCACCGAGUCCAAUAAUUACUGGUACCCGGGGAACAAUGGGUCGUGCCUGUCAUAACUGUCAUCUGCGGCAAUGGCCUGGCGUUAUUUAAGGCCGGGGGGCUUAUUAACUGUAAUGACUGGCCGCGGAGACUUGUUUCGACUGACCCCAGCCUCGACGUUGGAGGAUACUUCUUGGUUGCUUUGAUGUUUCUUGGAAUGGGAGUAGUUGGGAAGAAAAUAUGAAUUGAGAAUUAUUAUGAAGGAAGCGAUAGUUGAGAAUUUUAUAAAUUUUAAUAAUUCAAAUUAUUCUUAAAUAUUGUUCUUUGAUUUGGUUCUUAAUUUUCUCGAUAACUUGUAAAAUUAUAAUUUUUAGAUGCGGUAGAAUUAAUAGAGAGACAAGAUUAAAAUUCGAGUAAAGAAAUUUUUGUAAUUAUGGAAUGCAGAUAUUUUUUUAGAUUAAUUAUUCUAUAUUAUAUUUUGAAGAAAAUGAUACGUUUGUUUGCAAUAAAAUAGAGAUAACGAUGCUUUGCAUAUAAUUUUCCAUUUCGCACUUCUAAUGUCAACAAUUCUUCAAUACAAAUUGUAGGUAUAUAUAUAUCAAUCUCAAAUAAAAUUUCAUUUCCAUUGUUAUGUAAGAAGAGACAUUUAUAUUGUUGUGAAAACAGAUAGUGUACACUUCGGAUAUUAGAGUAUUUAAAUAAGGAAUAUUAUAUUAUAUUAUAUCAUAUACUUCGAUGACAAUCGCUUGAAUAUUAAUUCUCUCAAUCCUCAAUUAUUUUUGAAUAUCGAAAGAGGUAUUGAAGGAUGCAAGUGAAAGGAUUAAACCUUGGAAUUAAACGUCGUUCGUAAAUUCGCGAACAUCUAUGCAAUAAAGAUGAUUAUUACGUUUAAUCCUUGGAAGAGAGAAAAAUUAAGAGUUCGUUUAUAUCGGAUUUAUUAAAUAUAAUUGUUAUCAAGGAUUAAAUCUUGAUAGCCUUAUGAUAAAUAAAUGAUCUCUCUCUGAAUUCUUUGAAGUUUUUAUACAUAUCUAAAAAAAGAUUGCUUAUGUAAAUUUAGCAAGGACAAUCCUUGGCAAAUAAUUUAUUCGCCGAGAAGAAAUUCACGUCGGCACUCACUGAGCAAGGACAAUCGUUAUCGAAACGCACGAGAGAGCCUUUCGGAAUCAUGAUGACCGUACGCAUUUUAUGAAGCUGUAACUUCAUGUCCAUGUCCUCGCUGCCGUACGAACUCGGCCGAAGUUAUGAUAACGUAUCAAACCGUGUUACAGCACUUUCGCGGAGGUAUCUUUAUUGGCCUCUUACUUAAUGGCUCGUGGGAAGGAUAGUAUAUUUACGCUAAUCGCCUGUUGCGGUAGCAAGCACAAACAGUAAGAAUGCCGGACCACGGUUACAUCCUGUGAAUACGUUUACUCUGUAUCAGUAACUCUGGAACACCAAAUACCUUUGAUCACAAUCGCUGAAAGCACUUUAGAAUUUUUCACCUGUCUUUAUAGUAAUAGAAUUUUCUUAUUUUGAAUUUUAUUAGCAACAGAUUCCUUGCUUUUAUCCAAUUUUUUAUAUGUAUUAUGAAUGCAAUGUAUCGAACAUCGUAUAAUUUUAAUUUAAGUAAAAAACUUUUUAAAUAUUUUCUAUACACAUUUUCUUUUAUCUUGGAAUAUUAAAUACCCAAACUGUUCUGUAAUCAGUGUCAUUUUACAUUAUUUACAUAUUUAUAUAUCAACAAAAACUAUUCGAACUAUAAUUACACCGUCGUAAAUUAUGUUCCAAGAUAUCUUAAGAAUUCUAUUUUUUAACCAGUGAAAUUUGCAUUCGUUCGAUACGAAUAAGAAUUUAUAAUUAAUUAUAAAUUCAAGAAAAUGAUCAAGAAAGUAUUAUUUAAAACCUAUCUAUUCUAUGUAACAAAACACAGAUAUUAAUUAAGAAUUUAAAACAUCCUAAACUGUACCCUACGAUCAUCAUCCCUGCAUAAGGGAUUAAAAUGCCGAAUUUCACCACUUGCCCUUUAUUAAAAGCUUCUCCUCAACUUACCCUCUUCUCACUCUCGCUGAAUCGUUAUCAUCAAGUGUCCCUAUCCUAUCCUGUCCCAUCCCAACCCCGAAAUUACUCAGGAAAUUCUAACCUUCCCCUAAAACCGAUCCCGACCGAUUCCAAAACGACUUCGGAACUCGAUCGGCAGAAUCCAACGAAUGCGCCCGGCCGACGGCGGAACAGGAGGCAGAAUCCGCGGUGAUCCACGUUCACGCGUGGUACGCUCGUUCGGUCGCGCUUCCGGGGCCGUGCACAAGCGGACGUUCCAUGGAACUCGGCGAGCGGAUGCGCUAUCGAAUCGGCUUGGUAGCCGGCGCAUGCCUCGCGCUCGUCAGAUUGUUCGGCUCGCGUUCGAGGCAACCGCAAAUCGAUAAGCGGUUAUCGCAUGGAACGACGACGAGGGAACCGGCUUCUUCGAGAGGGUAUGAGCGUUCCUGCAGCUCUUCUUUCGUCCACUUCGACCGAGUAUCGCGACGAUAACGCGCCAGGUACGCGCUUCCCAGACGCGCCGAGACGAUAAACUCUCUGAGAGAGGGUAGCUCUCUCUCUCUCUCUCUCUCGAGCGCGUCGGAAGGAAGCCUGCACUUUGUUAUUUUUGAAGAAGGAGAUUAGUGUGGGAUGAAUGUCGGCUGAUGGGAAGAACGUGGGACGGGGGUGGAAGGUUUUGGCUUUCUUUACAAGCUGUAUAAUGUAUGUUUCCAUGGUAUAUUUCAGGGAAGUAUGCGUGUAGGAAUCUUUAUGAUGUUUAGAUUUAAAGAGUAUUGUAUAUGCGUGAAGGGUUGAUGUUCUUGGUUUGAUCUUUUUUUUUUUUUUUUAGGAACGUGAGGAAGAUUGGGGAUGUGGAAAAGAUAACUGACAAUAUAAAUAAAUAAAUAAGAAAAUGUAAACAAAUAGUUAUAAACGUGUAAUGUAUAAUAUGUAUCUCUUUUUAUAAUCAUGCUCAUUAUUAUUUUCUUAUUUUUCGAUUUAGAUUCAUAAUAAAAUUUUACGUUUUCGAUUUUCAUUAUCUCGAUAUAAGUCACGUUUUUUAUCAUAUUUUAUUCAUUUUUCUUUAUCGAUUUGUUAAGUAAGUAAUAAAAAUAUAAUAAGAAUGAUAUUUAAACAUAUUUCUUUUUUAUUGCUUGUAAUAAAAAUAGUAAUCCUUGUUUGUGUAAGAGUGAUAUAAGUCUAAUAAUAAAAAUCAUCCACAGAAAAUUUGAUUAUGUAUUUUAAUUUUCCGGAAAAUUACUAUCUAAUGAUAUAACUUUAUAUAAUAGAUAUUAAUAAUGGUUUUCAUAAAAGAGAAACAUCAGUAGACACUUUUUAAUAUUAUUCCAUUAUCAAAUCUCUUCAUCUCCCAUUAUCUAAUAAUUACUUAACAUUAUUAAUGAUUACUAAUAAUAUUAUUUUAAUUUGAACCAUUUUUGCAUCAAGUGGCUCAUAUCAUGGUUCAUAACAUAAAAAAUAAACAAGCGAAUCGAGACUAAAACGAACAGCUUGACUAUUCAUAAUUUCUUCUGAUCUUUUUUUUAAAUAUAUCAAUACUAACUAUAAUUUUCUCUUUUUUAGAUGUCACAUAUGUCACCUUAGCGAGAAAUGCAAUAAAAAACAUUAUGCAUAUUAUCUAAAAUUUUUUUGUACAGUAAUAUCAUUUCAACGAUUACGCGACAAUGAAGGAGAUUUCACAUGGGCGAUCCAUCGAAUAAUCCACUAGCACUGGCUAUCGCGAGUUUUCCACACACGUGCCGUUAAAACGCCGACUGAAAUAGCCUAUUAAAAUGCUGACUGAGCCGGUGCAUUCGCCUUUAACAUGGCGGACAGCCGGCCCACCACCAAACUUUUAAUUCAAUUCGUGGCAGAGCGGAACGACUGCGAGUUUCGCGUCUCCGCUGUCGCCGGAACUCGAGCUGCGCGACGGAUGACCGGGAUGUUAACUCGAUUGGUUACCAUACUCUCUUCGCUCGUAAUGCGUUUAUCGAGCGGCUUAACGUUGCCAUAACCAGCGGCCACGAGGAUUCCUUUGUACAUUCUGCGACGAAUAUUUCCUCUCUUGUGCCCCUGGCGAUAAAACGGGUCAAUUCUCGAUCUCGUUUGUCAAGUUUUUAAUCGUGUUCGUUCUAAGACGAAUUUUUACUUUAUCCGAUUGUUCGAAUUUUGAUCUUUCUCGAAAUUUUUUUUUCGGAAACUUUGAAAAAGCUUAUUCGUUCUUUCUGUCUCUCAUUUAUUAUCAAUUUAUUAAGUAUCAAUCGUAUCGAUUAAUUCUUCAAUAGCAAUCAAAGUAUUGAAUAUUUUUCCAAAUGAAUUCAAAGAUAAUUGAGAUAAUUAAGAAACGCAUUAAUAACACGUCUUAUGAUAUUACGUAUGCUAUUGCGUGACUUUGUAGAAUACGAGCCGACGCAUUAUCGUAGUUUUAAAUCUGUUGGAAAUAAAUUAUAAUCACAAUCGAGCUAUUAUAACAUCAUUAUGCGUAUCGUUAUGCGCAUGUCACGUAUUUUUCACGUCAUUCCAAAAUUUCGUUUUUCAUUAUUUUAGCAUGAUGGAAAUAUAUCUUGUAGCCGUGAUGUCACGUGCCAUAAUUCAUAAUAUAAUAGCGUGUAAUUACGUGUGAUAUAAUUAAACGUGAUAUUAAUUUAUUACUAUCUUUAAAAUUCUGUCUUACAAUAGGUGUAAAAUAAUUAAAAUUCUAUUGUAUAUUUUGUAAUGUAUUGAAAUAAAAUAAAUCAAAAAUUAAGUGACAAAA